GGGCCUGAUCCAGCCAUGCCGCGUGCAGGAAGAAUGCCCUAUGGGUAGUAAACUGCUUUUAUACGGGAAGAAAAAGGGGCACGUGUGCCCCACUGACGGUACCGUAAGAAUAAGGACCGGCUAACUCCGUGCCAGCAGCCGCGGUAAUACGGAGGGUCCGAGCGUUAUCCGGAAUUAUUGGGUUUAAAGGGUCCGUAGGCGGGCCGGUAAGUCAGGGGUGAAAGUCUGUAGCUCAACUAUAGAAUUGCCUUUGAUACUGCCGGUCUUGAGUUAUGGUGAAGUUGCCGGAAUAUGUGGUGUAGCGGUGAAAUGCAUAGAUAUCACAUAGAACACCGAUUGCGAAGGCAGGUGACUAACCAUAUACUGACGCUGAUGGACGAAAGCA
rnacentral:rRNA from 1 species